rnacentral:rRNA from 1 species
UAGGGAAUCUUCGGCAAUGGACGGAAGUCUGACCGAGCAACGCCGCGUGAGUGAAGAAGGUUUUCGGAUCGUAAAGCUCUGUUGUAAGAGAAGAACGAGUGUGAGAGUGGAAAGUUCACACUGUGACGGUAUCUUACCAGAAAGGGACGGCUAACUACGUGCCAGCAGCCGCGGUAAUACGUAGGUCCCGAGCGUUGUCCGGAUUUAUUGGGCGUAAAGCGAGCGCAGGCGGUUAGAUAAGUCUGAAGUUAAAGGCUGUGGCUUAACCAUAGUAGGCUUUGGAAACUGUUUAACUUGAGUGCAAGAGGGGAGAGUGGAAUUCCAUGUGUAGCGGUGAAAUGCGUAGAUAUAUGGAGGAACACCGGUGGCGAAAGCGGCUCUCUGGCUUGUAACUGACGCUGAGGCUCGAAAGCGUGGGGAGCAAACAGGAUUAGAUACCCUGGUAGUCCACGCGUAAACGAGAGGCUAGGGAGACCCUUCCGGGGAGGCCGAGCAACGCAAAGCACUCCGCCGGGGAGUACGACCGCAAGGG